UGAGAAGGGUACCCAAACACUUGAAUGGU
rnacentral:piRNA from 1 species